UUUAUGUGACUUGACAUUUAUGUUAGUUUUAAAACCCUUCAUUCUCUGUUUUUAAUGUUUUAAAUAUAUCAUUAUAUAUAUUCCAGGUCUUUCCUAUUUGGUGUUCAGUAAGCCUUUUGUGCAAAAAUUGGCAUCUCUUUAGUAAAAGUAUCUUUUCCUAUGUCUUUACUGAAUGUAUUCUCUAUGCUUUGCUAUGUUAUUGUUCAUCCUUCCUCUAUGCCCACAAUUCAGAGGUUACAUCUGUUCUCAGUGCCUCAAAAACUCUCCCAUGGUUCCAUUUAUGUGUUCUUUUUUAAAAAAAAAUUCUCAUUGUUCUUUACUAAAUGAUCCAAUGCCUUUAUUUUGUUUUCCGUCCUUCACAUCCUGCCUCCAACACAAUCCAUUCUGUUGGUGAGGCUUUUCAUUGGAGUUUUUAGUGGCCUCAUUGAAUUUUUCAGUUGGAUUUCUUGAGUUCAUUCUUUUUUGUGUCUUUACACCUCUAUAUUAUUUGUCAGGUACAAUAUAUUCAAAGUUAACUUGAAGGAAUUAUAAGCACAAAUUUAUAUAAUAUAGAUGAGGACAGAGAGAGCCAUAUACUGUACUGCCCAAAGUUUGAUCACAGUAUGGAUACUUUGUACCAUGAAAGAAUUGUCUUCUCCAGUUCUGAAUGAAUUUCUUUCAGAAAUGCAGGAAACUGUGUGUAAUGAUCACAAGUGUUGAUAAAGAUUGGCUGGGGUUGGAGAUAAAGAAGAAGGUCUCUGAUAUGAUAUGCUUUUAUAGAAUUCCAAGAAAUAAUGGCAAUACCACCUGCAUAGCAGAGGGGGAGAUAAGUAGGGCAGGGUUGUGCCUUAUACAACUCCAGGUACACCCACUUUGGAAACAUAUAAAUUAGGAACAGCUCAACUUUCAGUCAAGGUCUCUUCUGACAAGAUGAAGACUGCCAGCUUCUUCCUCCUCGCAUUGCUUCUCUUCCUGGUGACAGAAGCCACUGGGAAGAAAACCAAACAAAAAUUCUCACAGUCUGAAGAAACGGCCAGCGAGAGCUAUGAAACAGGCUCGGGGGAGAGGAGGUUUGCAUUAGGUUCUCCUACAUCAUACUCCCUUGACAAGGCGGAUAUCUCUUUCAGUGACCACAGAGCCUCCUCCAGUGAGGAAAGCUAUGAGGAAUCAAGUAAUAAAAAAAGUAAAGUUAGCUCUGGGGAUCACAGUGGUUCUAAUACAGAAAGUGAGAGUUCAUUUGUAAAGAGAAAGAAGAGCCGGUUUUCUCAAGACCUGUCUUAGAUAAUACAUUCACUGACCAGCAGAGGGUCUGGACCAAUAUGAUGGAGUCAAACCACCUAGACGAAGCCUGGGAUGUCUUCAUGCAGCUCCCAUGUGGUCCCCAAGGCAGUCCAUGGACGACGCUUCCCUCUCACACUUGCUUGUCUUGAGAAUCCUAAAUCUCACAUUCAUUAUGAUAAUUUCUUUCCAAU